UACAGAGGGGCAAGGCGUUAUUCGGAAUUAUUGGGCGUAAAGGGCGCGUAGGCGGCCUGACAAGUGGAUGGUGAAAUCCCUCGGCUUAACCGAGGAACUGCCGUCCAAACUGCUUCGCUUGAGACCGGGAGAGGUGAGUGGAAUUCCCAGUGUAGCGGUGAAAUGCGUAGAUAUUGGGAGGAACACCAGUGGCGAAGGCGGCUCACUGGACCGGUACUGACGCUGAUGCGCGAAAGCGUGGGG
rnacentral:rRNA from 1 species